GGUAAGGUAACGGCUUACCAAGGCGAUGAUACGUAGCCGAGUUGAGAGACUGAUCGGCCACAUUGGGACUGAGACACGGCCCAGACUCCUACGGGAGGCAGCAGUAGGGAAUCUUCCACAAUGGACGCAAGUCUGAUGGAGCAACGCCGCGUGAGCGAAGAAGGUCUUCGGAUCGUAAAACUCUGUUGUUAGAGAAGAACACGGGUGAGAGUAACUGUUCACCUGUUGACGGUAUCUAACCAGCAAGUCACGGCUAACUAC
rnacentral:rRNA from 1 species